CUCCACUCAGCAGAUACACAUGUAUACCCCAAGGCCAUGGCCCCCAACAUCCACCUCCUCCAGCCACACCCCUAAUCCUCAAUUACCACUCAGUUAUUCUAUCAGUGGAUUCAUUCACUGAUUGGGUUAAGGCUGUCACAACCCAAUCAUUUUACCUCUGAAUGUUCUUGCAUUGUCUUAUAUGAGCUUUUAGGGGACACCUCAUGUCUAAACCAUAAUAGCUAAUAAGACCUUCACACUAAGUUUGCUGUAAAUUUCUCUUUUCACAGGUGUAUUACCUGGGCGUGACUGAGCGCAUCACUGGCCUUAGCCAGGUGUGGCCCCAAAUCUAUCUGUCUAUCUAGGAAAGACUGAAACUCAUGGGCUCCCUCUGUCAAUGCAGCCUGCCCCAGGACCACUGUCCAGAUGGACUCAGGAGCUGCCACUGCUUUCCAGAAGGACCCAUGUGGGAUCAAAUCCCACUUUGACUGUUGUGGGUCAAACUAUAUGUGCCUUGACCAGACAAACUCCAUUUUACCCUGAGACUCCAUUUCUUUUUGUCUUUUCUGUUGGUGCUGGGGAUCGAACGCCUUGUGCGUGGUAGGCAUGCACUCUACCAACUGAGCUAAAUCCUCAGCCCCACUGAGAUUUCAUUUCAUGUAAGAAAUGUUUCUUACACAUGAGAAACAUGUGUAACUCACCUCCUGCUAAGCACAACCUCUUUGGCAAUGCACAGUGGCUGAAAAAUGUUUCUUUUAUUUUUAUACAAUGUAUUAUUAAAAAACGGUUUUGGGCUGGGGUUGUAGCAGUGGUAGAGUGCUCACUUAGCAUGUGCGAGGACCUGGGUUCAAGCCUCAGCACUACAUAAAAAUAAAUAAAAUAAAGAUGUUGUUUCCAACUAAAAAAUAAAUAUUAAAAAAAAAAAAGAAGGGGGCUGGGGAUGUGGCUCAAGCGGUAGCGCGCUCGCCUGGCAUGCGUGCGGCCCGGGUUCGAUCCUCAGCACCACGUACAAACAAAGAUGUUGUGUCAGCCGAGAACUAAAAAAUAAAUAUUAAAAAAUUCUCUCUCUCUCUCUCUCUCCCCCCACUCUCUCUUUAAAAAAA
rnacentral:lncRNA from 1 species